rnacentral:hammerhead_ribozyme from 1 species
AUCCAACUGACGAGUCCUAAAUAAGGCGAAAUGCAUUUCCUAGAU